UACGUAGGGUGCGAGCGUUGCCCGGAUUUAUUGGGCGUAAAGGGCGCGUAGGCGGUCACGCACGUCCGUUGUGAAAUCGCUCGGCUCAACUGGGCGGGGUCAGCGGAUACGGCGUGGCUGGAGCAAGCUAGGGGGCAAUGGAAUUCCCGGUGUAGUGGUGGAAUGCGUAGAUAUCGGGAGGAACACCAGUGGCGAAGGCGGCUUUCUGGCCCGUUCUUGACGCUGAGGCGCGAAAGCUAGGGUAGCAAACGGG
rnacentral:rRNA from 1 species